rnacentral:rRNA from 1 species
UACGUAGGGGGCAAGCGUUGUCCGGAUUUAUUGGGCGUAAAGAGCGUGUAGGCGGUCUGGUAGGUCCGUUGUGAAAACUCGAGGCUCAACCUCGAGACGCCGAUGGAAACCCUCAGACUAGAGUCCGGAAGAGGAGAGUGGAAUUCCUGGUGUAGCGGUGGAAUGCGUAGAGAUCCGGAAGAACACCGGUGGCGAAGGCGGUCUGCUGGGCAGUUGCUGACACUGAGGCGCGACAGCGUGGGGAGCAAACAGG